rnacentral:rRNA from 1 species
UAAGGAAUAUUGCUCAAUGGGAGAAAUCCUGAAGCAGCAACGCCGCGUGGAGGAUGAAGGGUCUAUGACUUGUAAACUCCUGUAAAGAAGGAAAAAAUUCCCAUUUGAUGGGAGAUGAUGGUACUUCUGGAGUAAGCCCCGGCUAACUACGUGCCAGCAGCCGCGGUAAUACGUAGGGGGCAAGCGUUGUCCGGAUUUACUGGGUGUAAAGGGUGCUCAGGCGGAUUUGUAAGUCAGAGGUGAAAUCUUACAGCUUAACUGUGAAACGGCCUCUGAUACUGCAAGCCUAGAGUAUGGAAGAGAGUGAUGGAAUAUCUGGUGUAGCAGUGAAAUGCGUAGAUAUCAGAUAUAACACCAAUGGCGAAGGCAGUCACUUGGUCCAUUACUGACGCUAAAGCACGAAAGCGUGGGUAGCAAACA